rnacentral:rRNA from 1 species
UUUAUGGAGAGUUUGAUCCUGGCUCAGGAUGAACGCUGGCGGCGUGCCUAAUACAUGCAAGUCGAGCGAACGGACGAGAAGCUUGCUUCUCUGAUGUUAGCGGCGGACGGGUGAGUAACACGUGGAUAACCUACCUAUAAGACUGGGAUAACUUCGGGAAACCGGAGCUAAUACCGGAUGAUAUUUUGAACCGCAUGGUUCAAAAGUGAAAGACGGUCUUGCUGUCACUUAUAGAUGGAUCCGCGCUGCAUUAGCUAGUUGGUAAGGUAACGGCUUACCAAGGCAACGAUGCAUAGCCGACCUGAGAGGGUGAUCGGCCACACUGGAACUGAGACACGGUCCAGACUCCUACGGGAGGCAGCAGUAGGGAAUCUUCCGCAAUGGGCGAAAGCCUGACGGAGCAACGCCGCGUGAGUGAUGAAGGUCUU